rnacentral:rRNA from 1 species
GGUUAAGCGACUAAGCGUACACGGUGGAUGCCCUGGCAGUCAGAGGCGAUGAAGGACGUGCUAAUCUGCGAUAAGCGUCGGUGAGGUGAUAUGAACCGUUAUAACCGGCGAUUUCCGAAUGGGGAAACCCAGUGUGUUUCGACACACUAUCAUUAACUGAAUCCAUAGGUUAAUGAGGCGAACCGGGGGAACUGAAACAUCUAAGUACCCCGAGGAAAAGAAAUCAACCGAGAUUCCCCCAGUAGCGGCGAGCGAACGGGGAGGAGCCCAGAGCCUGAAUCAGUGUGUGUGUUAGUGGAAGCGUCUGGAAAGGCGUGCGAUACAGGGUGACAGCCCCGUACACAAAAAUGCACAUAUUGUGA